GAUGAAGAACGUAGCGAAAUGCGAUACGUAAUGUGAAUUGCAAAUUCAGUGAAUCAUCGAGUCUUUGAACGCACAUUGCGCCCCUGGGUAUUCCGAGGGGCAUGCCUGUUCGAGCGUCAUUAUAACCCCUCAAGCUCAGCUUGGUGUUGGGGCCUGCUGCACUGGCAGCCCUUAAAAUCAGUGGCGGCGCCAUCUGGCUCUAAGCGUAGUAAUUCUUCUCGCUAUGGAGUCCUGGUGGAUGCUUGCCAUCAACCCCCAAUUUUUCUAUGGUUGACCUCGGAUCAGGUAGGGAUACCCGCUGAACUUAAGCAUAUCAAUAAGCGGAGGA
rnacentral:misc_RNA from 1 species